rnacentral:rRNA from 1 species
AUUGAACGCUGGCGGCAGGCCUAACACAUGCAAGUCGAGCGAGCGGAGGACGGGUGCGUAAUGUAUGGGGAUAUGCCAGAUAGAUGGGGAUAACUACUGGAAACGGUGUCUAAUACCGCAUACUGUCGGCUUUAGCCAUAUGGGAUGAGCUAGUAGGGAAGUUAAUGGCUACCUAGGCAACGAUCCAUAGCUGGUCGCAGAGGAUGAUCAGCCACACUGGGACUGAGACACGGCCCAGACUCCUACGGGAGGCAGCAGUGGGGAAUAUUGCACAAUGGGCGAAAGCCUGAUGGAGCAAUGCCGCGUGAAUGAAGAAGGCUCUAGGGUUGUAAAGUUCUUUCAUUAGAGAGGCGUUACCUACACAAGAAGCACCGGCUAACUCCGUGCCAGCCGCCGCGGUAAUUC